CAACCCUCUCAGGCUAUCCACAAGCUCUCUAGGUGAGUGGGAACAAAUGGCAGCCUAUCAGAGAAGUGCACCCAGGACAAUUGCACAGUUGUGAUCAUUUGGGGAUCUCAUGCAGACUCUCCCUGCAGCCCCCAGUGCACCAUCAGGAGUUUCUAAGUACAAAAUGAGACAAGGCAAAAUGGCCGAAUAGGAACAGCUCCAGUCUACAGCUCCCAGGGAGAUUAAAGCAAAAGAGAUGGAGUCUCGACACGUUGCCCAAGCUGUUCUCAAACUCCAGGGCUUGAACAAUCUUCCCACCUUGGCCUCCCAAGGCACUGGAAUUACAGGUGAGGCAC